GGGGCAGUCGCGCAGGUAGCGGCUGCGGGAAGCCGGACACUGGGCGUCAUGUAUUACAAGUUUAGUGGCUUCACGCAGAAGUUGACUGGAACAUGGGCUUCCGACGCCUAUAGCCCGCAGGGAUUAAGGCCUGUGGUUUCCACAGAAGCACCGCCUAUCAUAUUUGCCACACCAACUAAACUGAGUUCUGAUUUUGCUGUAUAUGAUUAUGCUGGGAAAAACAAAGUUCCUGAGCUACAGAAGUUUUUCCAGAAAUCCGACGGUGUGCCUAUCCACCUGAAACGAAGCCUGCCUGACCAAAUGCUUUACCAGACCACCAUGGCGCUGACGCUGGGGGGGACCAUCUACUGCCUAAUUGCUCUCUACAUGGCUUCGCGGCCCAGAAACAAAUGAAUUAGGCUGCAGAGGACUGGUUUGCUUUUUGGCAUAAACCCUUUGAAUUUUCAUUUUUCA